AUGUGGCGCGUUCCCGGUCUGCUCUGCGUGCCCGUUGCAAGGAAGAGCAAGUUCUCCGGACCUUGGAGCAGGCCUGCCGCCUUCAUGUCCACUCUGCUCAUCGAUCAGCCCCAAUAUGCUUGGCUGAAGGAGCUGGGGCUCCGCGAGGAAAACGACGGCGUGUACAAUGGAAGCUGGGGAGGCCGGGGAGAAGUUAUCACCACCUAUUGUCCUGCUAACAAUGAGCCCAUUGCAAGAGUCAGACAGGCCAGCAUGUCUGACUAUGAAGAAACUGUAAAGAAAGCAAGAGAAGCCUGGAGCAUCUGGGCAGAUAUUCCUGCUCCAAAGCGAGGAGAUGUAGUGAGACAGAUUGGUGAUGCCUUGUGGGAGAAGAUCCAAGUACUAGGAAGCUUGGUGUCUUUGGAGAUGGGGAAGAUCUUGGUGGAAGGUGUGGGAGAAGUUCAGGAAUACAUGGAUGUUUGUGAUUAUGCUGUUGGCUUAUCUGGGAUGACUGGGGGACCCAUCUUGCCUUCUGAAAGACCUGGCCAUGCUCUCAUUGAACAGUGGAAUCUUGUAGGCCUGGGUGGAAUCAGCACUGUAUUCAACUUCCCUGUGGCCGUGUACGGCCGGAACAACGCCAUUGCCAUGAUCUGUGGGAUCGCCUGCCUUUGGAAAGGAGCUCCUACAACUUCUCUUCAUUAGUGUAGCUGUUACAAAGAUAAUAACCAAAGUUCUGGAGGACAACAAGCUGCCUGGUGCAAUCUGUUCCUUGACUUGCGGUGGAGGAGAUAUCGGCACAGCAAUGGCCAAGGAUGAGUGAGUGGACCUGUUGUCCUUCACCGGGAGCACGCAGGUGGGAAAACAGGUGGCCCUUAUGGUACAGGAGCGGUUUGGGAGAAGUUUAUUACAACUUGUAGGAAACAACGCCAUUAUAGCUUUUGAGGAUGCGGACCUCAGCUUAGUCGUCCCCUCAGCUCUCUUUGCAGCCGUGGGGACAGCCGGCCAGAGGUGUACCACCGCGAGGCACCUGUUCUUACAUGAAAGCAUCCAUGAUGAAGUUGUCAAUAGACUUAAAAAGGCCUACGCACAGAUCUGUGUUGGGAACCCUUGGGACUCUAACAUUCUCUAUGGGCCACUCCACACCAAACAGGCAGUAAGCAAGUUUCUUGGAGCAGUGGAAGAAGCAAAGAAAGAAGGUGGCACCAUUGUCUAUGGUGGCAAGGUUAUGGAUCGCCCUGGAAAUUACAUAGAACCAACAAUUGUGACAGGUCUUGACCAUGACGCAUCCAUCGUACACACAGAGACUUUUGCCCCGAUUCUUUAUGUCUUUAAAUUCAAGAAUGAAGAUGAGGUCUUUGCAUGGAAUAAUGAAGUCAAACAGGGACUUUCAAGUAGUAUCUUUACCAAGGAUAUGGGCAGAAUCUUUUGCUGGCUUGGACCAAAAAGAUCAGAUUGUGGCAUUGUAAACGUCAACAUUCCAACGAGUGGGACUGAGAUUGGAGGUGCAUGUGGAGGGGAGAAACACACUGGCGGGGGCAGGGAGUCCGGCAGUGACGCCUGGAAGCAGUACAUCAGAAGAUCUAUUUGUACCAUCAACUACAGUAAGGACCUUCCUCUGGCCCAAGGAAUCAAGUUUCAGUAAAAAAGUGCUUUAAAUUGACAUUUCAAGCUUUUUACGCAUUGUUGUAACUCUUUCUUCUGAAGAAGACAAAGAAAAUGAGUGUUUGCCUUGAAUAAAUGCAUCAUUUUGAAUAUGA